rnacentral:rRNA from 1 species
GUAAUGUCUGGGAAACUGCCUGAUGGAGGGGGGAUAAACUACUGGAAACGGUAGCUAAUACCGCAUAACGUCGCAAGACCAAAGAGGGGGACCUUCGGGCCUCUUGCCAUCAGAUGUGCCCAGAUGGGAUUAGCUAGUAGGUGGGGUAACGGCUCACCUAGGCGACGAUCCCUAGCUGGUCUGAGAGGAUGACCAGCCACACUGGAACUGAGACACGGUCCAGACUCCUACGGGAGGCAGCAUG